GCCCGUCACCGGGGGUGUCGCGCUCGCAGCGCGGCUGAGAUCAGACCCCAAUGACCCGAUGCGGUUCAUACCGCCGUGGGGAGCGUGACGGCCGGCCGCC
rnacentral:ncRNA from 2 species